rnacentral:misc_RNA from 1 species
GUAUUGUAUUGCGUUAAACGCGGUGUGCAUUCCAUGAGACUUUACUACAGCGUGUGUGUAAAUACAUAGAACCACGGCAGGGGGGACAGAGCCCCCAGGCUGCAGAACUACGGAGGGUGCACAGGUGUGAGUGGAUGUGCAAACAGAGCGUGCACGAUGCCCCCAUUUUUGAGGACCAGCAACAACUCGUGUCGACAAUUCGGUAAUGAUCCUUCCGCAGGUUCACCUACGGAAA